AUUGAACGCUGGCGGCAGGCCUAACACAUGCAAGUCGAACGGUAGCACAGAGAGCUUGCUCUCGGGUGACGAGUGGCGGACGGGUGAGUAACGUCUGGGAAACUGCCCGAUGGAGGGGGAUAACUACUGCACACGGUAGCUAAUACCGCAUAACGUCGCAAGACCAAAGUGGGGGACCUUCACGCGUGACACCAUCGGAUGUGCCCAGCAGGCAGUAGCUAGUCGGUGGGGUAAUGGCUCACCUAGGCGACGAUCCCUAGCUGGUCUGAGAGGCUGACCAGCCACACUGGAACUGAGGAAGGGUCCAGACUCCUGCGGGAGGCAGGAGUGGGGAAUAUUGAACAAUGGGGGAAGGCCUGAUGCAGACAUGCCGCGUGUAAGAAGAAGGCCGGCGGGUUGUAAAGGACUGGGAGCGGGGAGGAAGGAGGUGAAGUUAAUUGCUUCAGUGAUUGUCGUUACCCUCAGUAGAAGGACCGGCUAACUCCGUGCAUGCAUCCGCGGUAA
rnacentral:rRNA from 1 species